rnacentral:lncRNA from 1 species
CCACACAUGCCUUCUGGAUUGUUUCGUCCACAAACACCAACCACUUGGAGGAUUCUGAACACUCUGGCUUCUCCACGAACUCGAUUUCCAGUUUGGUACCUACAGUUAUGUUUCCAAAAAUUCAAAUCAGUAAGUAAAAAAAAACAUUAUUACGACUUUAAUCCUAACGUUAGGAUGUGCUUUAAAUGGCUCUGAUACCAUAUUAAGAAGUGGACUUUAAGUCUCACUCAACCCCAUAAAACCUGCUCAUAGAAUUGAGGUUUGCAUCCAUUUAUAUAGAAUGAAAUGUCAAUCUCUAGUCGAUGUGGAAUCUCCAAGCGAUACCAUAUUACGAAUAUAUUACAAAGUAGACUUUAAACCUAACUAAAGUCAUUGAAAGUUUAAACCCACGAAUUCUCUUCAUUUAGAGUGGAUAUAAGAUCUCUGAAAUAGUUGUCAACAAAAAAUUCUUCCUACAACAACUUAGUGACUCAUAAUAGUGAGAGAAAAGUAAACUUUUAAGACAGUUUGAUAACUAAUUUCACUGUUCAUUAAUAAGUAAAUGAUAUAAAAGAUUUGAGGGGACUCGUGGUCUUGUUGCAUAUAAAUGCUGAAGUUCCCAUUUUUAUUUACUUUGAAGUCUGAAAUAAUUAAAUUGAUAAGGUAUUGAUGAGUACCAGUGAAGAUGAUUCCGGGGCUGACUCCAGGUAUGGUGAACUUCACGGGAAUGCCACGGAAGACUUCUAUGUAAUCUUGCAAGACAGUUAGAGCGCACUGUGAGUUCCCAGUUUGGCCAAGUUUCAGUCCACCACCAGGUGGGCCACGGAUUGCUGGUAAGAUGUAGUAUGUGAGACCUGGGAAAAUGGGGUUCCCAUUUACGUCCACAACUUGCUCAACAUCUGAGAAAGCUAAGGGAAGGUUGGUGAGGAAAGCAAGGAGAGGGAGGAGGAAGGAGAGGGCAAGAACUGCUGUGGCUUUCAUGGUUGAUUCAGAGGAAGAUGGUGCUGUUGCAGAUGUUCUGCUUCUGUUGUGGUGGACUGGUUUUGGUUCUUUAUAUAGAAACAGAGCACCACGUGCUUGUUCUUAAAAGAAGAUGACAGAGAAUUUUGAUGACAGAGAAAACAAAAACAAAAAAGAAAAAGUAAAAGAAAAAGAAAAUCUGAGAAUUGAAACAUGUUUCAGCAACAAUGUAAAACGAUGUUAAGAAUGGACAUAACAUCAAAGAUGUAUAGGAAGAUAAGAAAAACAUAGUAGUGAAACAGACUUACAUGACAUUUGUAACAUGUGACUAAAUUGUUUUAAUAUUUUCAAGAAAUUUUUUCUGGGAGGUAGUUUUUUCCCCUUAAUUUAGCAACUGAAUAUUAGUCUUUUAUUAAAAUAAUUAGAUUAAAAUUAAUAAAUUCUAGUGAUAAAAAUAUAUUUUUAAGAUAACUUGAUUUUUAAUGAGGAAAUAAUAAAUGAGUAAGCAUUUAUAGGUAGAGAAAUGUAAAGAAUUUGUAGCUCAGAUGGGUGCAUACAGUAUCAAUAAUGAUAAUAUACUUGUUAGAAAAAUAAUUGUGAAGCAAUCAUUGGUAGUUUCAUCUAUAAUCUCAAAUUUUGAAACAAGUUUUUUUUAUCAGAAAACCAAAUCUUUACUCACAAAAGCAAUACUUUUUGAAAAUCACUAUUUUCAAUAUUGGUUUUAACAGAAAAAAGAAAAAAAAAUAGAAUAAUCAAUUUUACUUAUUUAUAUGAUAUGAUGAUUUAAAUAUUUGUAAACUUCAUGGCAGAAUUAGAAUUGGAUAAGUUUACUUAUCAUCUCUAAUUAUACAUAUUAUCUCUUGAAGAUAAUUAUGAUCAAUUUUUUUAUACUUUUUAUUCUUUAAUGUUAUUCAAACCAAAUUAAUUUAAAUUCAUUUAUUAUAUAAAAAUAAAAAAUAAAAAAUCAAAGAGAAUAUAUAAAAUGUCUUAAGCCACGUGCUUAGUAGGUGAGAGAUUAUUUGAUCACGUGCAAGUACAGUAAUCGGAUAAGGAUGAAGUUGGAAUGAGUUAUUUUGGAAGUUUUUUUUUUUAAAAAUCGCAUUAUUAAAAGAAAAUUACCCAAAUAAUAUAUUACUCAUCAUAUUUAUCUAAAUAAUAAUAUGAUUUACGAUUGAUGUCAGGUUUCUCAAAAACCGAAGUCUAACUUAAUUUUUCAAUUUUUUUUAAAAUUAUGAAAAAAAUACAUAAUGAUAGUGUAAACUUUAUGACAUUAUCAUAUUUAAAAUUUAUUUUUUAAUAAUUUAAAUAAAUUAUUAAAUAUAAUUAAUAUUGAUAUCUUAUCACACAUGCAAUGCAAAGCAAGUAUAAUAGUUGGAUAAAAACAAACUUGCACCGAGUUAUUUUACUAAGCCAAUAAGGUAUGCAAAAUUGAAAUAUUUAUAUUGAGGUAUUUUUAUAACUUUAUUUAUAUUAAAUUAAGGACUCAUGUUUUAACUUGAUUGUUUAUAUUAAAAUAGAAAUAAAAAUGGAUUUAUUUGGUAAUUUUAAAUUAUAGAAACAUAUUCCAUAGAUAUUUGGUAGAAAGAACAAGAAAUUGACUUUGAAUUUUUAUUUUACAUCUUACACUCUUAGCAAUUCAAUGAAAUGCGUGUCACAAAAGAGAGCACACCCUUUUUUUAACAAUUAUAAAAGUUAUAAAAUAAUAAUAAUAGAGACAUUAGUGAUAAAUAAUUAAUGAGCUUUUGAUAAACACUUUUAUUUAUUUGUAGAUUAAAGUUCUCGAUCUUCACGAGGCACACAAUAUUAAAUUAUAAUAUUAAAGCACGUGCCGAGGAAUAUUUUAUGCUUCCCGUGGAACACGCACGACCUUCCUUCUAUAUUUUUAAAAGAGGGUUAAGAUAUUGUUUCUCUCUAAUAAAAUAUAUGUUAAACUAUAAUAUUAAAAUCCGGUAUUGAAAUGAUAAAUAUUUGAAAAUUAAAAAACCAGAAAAUCAUAAAUUAUUUAUCUGAAAUUUAAAAAGAUAAAUUAAUUAAAAUAUAAGUCUAAGAAUCCACCCCAAAAGAAACAAUAUGACCUCUCACCUUUCUGUUCACUACUUUGUCUUCUUUUUCACAAAUUUGGCAACCGCACCUUAUGCAAUUUGCAAUACCACCACUACAAAUUUCUUCUUUUCGUUAUUUUUCACUUGGCGCGUAUUUUGAAUUUUAAAAUGUCAAUCGCGAUGAGUUUCUAAGAAUAUAUAGGUUAUGAGAAAUAGAGACCCAUUCAUUUCUCAUUUUUUCUUUUCAUUUACUGAAGAAUAAGUGAUUCUUUUAUCAUUUUUUUUUUAUCCAUAUCAUACCUGUUCAGACGUGAUGCAGUUUAUAAGGUUUUUUUUUUAUUAUCAAAGUUGUUUGCUUUUAUCAUAUUUUUGGUGUCCCAAUAAUGCUUUUAAGAAAUAUUGAUCAAGCUAAUGGACUAUGUAAUGGUACAAGAUUUCAAGUUAAUGAGUUGGGGAAGAAUUUUAUCGAUUGUACAGUGAUUACAGGCAAAAACAUUGAUCAUAAAAUAUUCAUUCUUAGAACGAACUUGAUUCCUUCAGAUUUAGGACUGUCUUUCAAGUUUCAAAAAAGACAAUUAUCGAUAUCUUGUGCUUUGCAAUGACUAUAAAUAAAAACUAAGGUCAAACACUUUCCGAAGGUCUACUUUUUUUUCUUGGCCAAUGUUAUAAGCCAACAAUCUACAAAUAAUUUGUUUUUUAAUAAUUGUUUCUUAUUUGAAUUUGCAGGGUAAUAUAAUUGUUCUGAUCAUAUUUUUGCUUCUACUGCAAAAUUGUAAUAAAUAUAAUAUCUUAUCAAAAUCUUCUAUUCCUAUCUUUGCAUUUGGACAAAAUAAUACUUCUACUUUCUGUUUUUUUUUUCUCUAAGAUUUAAAACAUAUCUUUUAUAUAUUCCUCCUAUCAAAUUUACAUUUAAGUUAUGUGUAGCGGUGAUUGAAAUAUAUUGACAUUAUAACCCAAUAUUAUUCAACAACAAUUAGAGGUUAGUAUCAAAUAUUCAACAUCACUAUACCAUUUCUUACAUAUAGUAACAUAUUAUUUUCUCACAACACUCGUGCAUUAUUUUGUUUCUAUAUUUUGCUUUGUUUUCUUUUCUUCUGUUUUCACUUUCUCAUGUUUCAUAUACUGUGCAAUGCCACCAAGUGUUUGAUAAAUGCUUGAAUGAUGGUGACUGGUUCUUUCUCUAUUUGUUUAGGUUAUAUAUGGUUUUAUGAAUUGAUUACUAGACACUCAUUUAUUAAUUAAUAUAUGCGUAGCAUGCUUGUUGGUUGGGGUGUGACUGUGAGAGGGAAGGUGAGUGUGGGUUAUGACUUACCUUUCCGUUUCCUUGACAUAAUUGGGAGGUUACUUGCCACAAUUAAUUGUCAUCAAAUGGAAGUUUCUUACUACAACUAAUUGUCACCAAAGGGAGGUUAAUUACCAUUAAUUGUAUUUAUUAUUGUUGUCUCCUAGAACCACUAUAUAUAGUGGUUUCCUUCCAGCAAUAUAACAAACAACAACACAUACUUGCUUCCUCUUUAUUUUCCUAUACUCUCUAUUUCUGCUCUUGGGUGUAAGUGUUUAACCCAUAUAGAGAGAAUUUGUUUUGGGGCUAUUUAUCUAUUAGCCUGAGAGGGAUUCAUGGUACUCCCAGUACCAUUAUAGUGGAAGUUUUGGCUCUUUCGCCGAUGGUUUUUUAUCUUUAUUUAAAGGGGUUUUCCACCUAAAAAAUUUUGGUAUCAUUCUCAUUUUCUUUGUUACUCUAAUUUCUCAUAAUUUGGUUGAAAUUAUUACGCUUCUGCACAUGAUAUCCCUACAGUGAGAGAGAAUGCAGAAGGAUGGAAUAGUGUUGCGACGCUUUUGAAUAUCUUGAAGCUUUUUUAAUGGUUAAAGGUUUUAUUAACAUGAUUUUCUACUAAGAUUUACUAUUUUGGUUAAAUGUUUUAUUCAUUUUUUAAUGACAAUUUCAAUUUCAAUAAAAGCAUAGAUUGGAAAAACAACUCAUCAGGACUAUAAGGUACUGCCUCAAGCAGAGGAUUCCAGUGUGAAAUCGACUUGUAAUGGUGAAGAGGUAAAUCUUCAAGAGACUUUUGAAAAAUCUCAGCAAAUUACAAGUUAACGUAAUCAUAUAUUGCUUGGUAUCACGAUGCAACUUUAUGUAACUUUUUCUGUCCAAUCAAUUAUUAAGAUGGAAGAAGAUGAAGAUGUAGAGGUUAAACAAAAGGAAUGUGAUGAUGCAAAGUACAAUGUCGAUGAAGAACCAAUCAACCAACAUUUUAAGCAGCUAGAGUUAUUUCAGCUGCAAAACGAGAACGUCCAAGUAACUUGUGUCAGAAUAAUAUUAAAUAAUCAUACUUACAACAUGUAUAAUUCUAAUACAGUACCAUAUAAACAUGCAAUUAGAGCUAGAUUGAAUGGUUUGACACAAGAGUUUUCCUAGGAUUGCUUUCGUAAUGCACUAUGCAUAAGAUAAAGUAACCAAUUUGAUGUUGACAAUCCUUAGGAAUUGAAAAUGAUGGUUCAUCAAACAAAAAUAGGAAUGCAGGUUCUGCAACAUAAUUCACCUACGCAUUUUACCUAUGACCAAUCACUGACCAAUUAAAAGGUUGUCUCCAUUUUAAAAUUACUAUGUAAAAGCCUAAGGGGGCUCAAUGAUUCAUUCCCACAAGUAUGAACAUUUCAAUUCUGUUUUUUAUUUUACCUAAUCUCAAUUUUGUGCACAAUAUCUUGUAGUUUCUUGAUUCUUUCUUUCUGAAGGAUAUUUUUAUCCAUUAUUAAAAACCAAUUUCUUUUGAGACCUUUAUAUUAUUAUAAGAAAAUUUGGUCUCAUAUAAAAAAUUGUGUUUAGAUAAAUCUAAAAUCAAACUCUAGUUUUUAUUUUUCAAGAGUAUUUAUUUGAUCUUUAGUCUGGAACCAAAUUUUUUUCACAUGCAACUAGGUGGGGUAGGUACUUAAUUGAAGGACAAUAAUGUUAAUUAAACCAUGGCCUUAACAUGGAAUGUGAAAGAAGGUCCAAGACGACUCAAAUGUUCACUCACCUUCAAACCUCGGUCCUUGGUCUCUUACCUCAGGUUCAUCAAUCAUCAUCCAACAUUUCAUGUUUUCUCAAUAAUUAAUGCUACACAUUAUUUUCAUGGUUUUUUUUAGAGUUUUGGUUACAUGAGUUUUAUGCAUUAUGUCCACAUUGUGUUGAAGAUGAAGAUGAAAGCUUUCAUGUAUCAAAUUCACAUGAAGCCGGAAGCUGUGUGCUUUCUGGGUUCUGGGUUUGGGUUUAGAUUAAGUUGUUUAGAAUCUUUGUUAAGAUUAGUCCUUGAAGCCUACACAAAGCUUGAUUAAAUCUAUUUUAAGAAACUAAGUGUUGUUCCAAGUAAAGGGAAAACAACCGAUUGAUUUGUCGAAAUAAUCGGUUGUUUGUCAAUUAGCUCACUGGAAGUUUUGAAACUGCUUGACUCAUUCAACCGGUUAAAUCGUGGUCUCACCCGGUUAAAUAUGUGUUUUCAUAACAGUUUUUUGAAAACUUGUUUUAACUGAUUCAGUUGUUCAAAUCUGCCUUAAGCAAUUGCUUUUCAAAGGCUAUAAAUAAAGGCUUUCAUUAAAAUCAAAAGAUACAACAAAUACAACAAGUAUUGAUUCAGAUUUUAGAAAGAGAUUUGGUGUUUGAAAGUGCUUACAAAAAGUGCAAGAGUGCUUUCAAGCUUUGAUGUGGUGACAAGUGUUGAUCAUAGGAUCUCUGGUUCUGUAAUUCCAGGUGUUUUCUAUCCUUGCUUAGUGUAUUGUAAUUGUACUUCUUUUACAUACUUUUGUGUUUGAAAUUCUAUAAAGACAAAGGUUGUUCUGUCUUGAGGUGUGAAGUUUUGCAAAGAGGGUGAGUAGGCUUUGUGGGAUUCAAAGUCACCUCUUUGUGGUGUGUGAUUGUAAUCUGUGUUGAUUACUAGUGGAAACUUAGAGGUUUGUCUGAGAACUGGAUGUAGCUCAGGGAUUGAGUGAACCAGUAGAAACCUUGUGUGUAAAUCUCUCUUUCUCUCAAACUGUUUGAUAUUUUGCUGCUAUAAACAACCGAUUAAAACACAAUUUUAACCGGUUAAAAUUCUGAUAUCUAUUUCUUUUGGAUUGUUUGGUUGCCUUCCUUAAGUGCUUAUCUGAGUUGUUUGUUAAAUAUUCAUUCUAGACCAAGUAUUUGCGAAAAUCUUUGAUAAACAAUUCACCCCUCCUCUUGUUUAAGCCAUCAAUUCUUACACAUUGGAGGAGUUGAAGAAGACUAUGAAAGGAGUAGAAGGGUCCAUGAUUGAAUGUGGUAACAACAAUAGAAAUUGUUCAAUCAUGGUUACUAUUUCUGCUAAUGUUGCAUUCUUUGGUAUUCAAUGGGUGCCUCAACCAGGUUUGGUGACGCAAAUUUUAAAGGUGUUUUGCAAUCACAAAGCAUAGAUUUUGGCUACAAAUGUAGAAAUUGAUAUUGGCAAUCACAGUUUUGGUGCAAAAUAAUGGAAAGUGUGUGGUUGAAAAUAUUAAAAGAGAAAUUAUGAGUUUGUAGGAUCAAAACUCUUGCGAUAGAUUAUAUGGUGUUUGAUUUUGGUACCAUGUCACAGAAGAAGCUAACUUGAUAUAGAUCAUGAUUAGACAUUAGAAACUAAACUCUAACCUGUAUCAAUUUCAAAAAACCUGCAUCUCACUUGUCACUUAUAUGGUUUAAUUAGAUCGUAUUCAUAUAAUUAUAAAAGAAUUUAGUAUGAGAUUUGGAUGAAGAGAAAGGAAGGAAGAAAGUAGAAACUAGAGCUGAAAACUUUUACUGAGAUACAAUAUGAAUAGGUUAGGCCAAUUGCAUAAUUGGUGUAUUAAUUGGUUUUAUUUGUCUUACGCUAAUCUUUUUUUCUUUUAUGUGAUGGGCAACGAAGAAUACUGAUGGAAGAGAGUCAUCUCGUGCAGAAAUGUGCAUCAUGAUAAGCCUAAGAGUGAAACAAAUUAUUGUAUGUAAUCUCUAUCUUUAUCUUCCUCACCCUCAAUAGUUAUUCCUCAAAUAUUAAAUUUUGAAUAUUUGGUGCUUAACUGCUAUAUUUAUAUAAUGUAAAUUAAUUUAAUAUUUAAUAACGUCUACUACUAAAACUUUAGACAAACUUCUGUAAAUGGUACAGAUUGAAGACAUGUAUGAAUACUUCUUAACAUUUGUGAACUGUAACAAAUGUAUAUAUUUUUGGUGGAACUGAAGAUUAUAAUUAUAUCAUUAUGGAGUGUUGGUUGUUUGAUGCUGCAAAAUCUGUAUUAAAUUUGAUGUGGUAGAAAUAAUGUAGAAUGACUUGUUUGACAUAAAUAACAGUUGGGGCCAUCAAAGCCUCUUCAAUUGUAAUAUUGCUACUAGGAAGUUGAUCUUUCAAUGAAAGACCAUUCUUUUUUUGUGUGUGGAAAAUUGGGAGUAUGUGUUGGCCUUCUAUCUUUGUAAAUGUGCUCUUCACUGUUGUGAGGUUUUUACAACACACCCUUAAUGGAACAAAAAAUCCAUCUAUAAGUAACACAUUAAUGUCUCAUGCAUGAAUUAUUAUGUCCUUCAGAUACAAAUUUAUAGGGGCUACAAUUAUCUCAUUGCUUUAACCACAAAAUUUUCAUUUCAUCCAUCAGAAUGCAAACCACACUUACCUUGGACAACUUCAUACCAUAGAGUUAGUCUGUAGAGAAAAAUGCUAAAGUCACUUAGCUGCUAAAACAAUAUUUUAAUCUAGCAAAUCUCCCAACUAACAAGGUGACCUCUACUUAAUCCAUUUGAAAACAAUAUAUCUUAAGUUUUUAUAGUAAACAAUUGGUGCACGUAUGAUAGAAUUUUAACUAUUGCAAUCAUUUUAAAAACCAUAUCUAUCAAUUUUUUUGAGAUUUUUUUCAAAUUAAACUCAAAUUUUAAAAGGCAUAUAUAUGAGUAUAUGGGUAAAUCAUAGUUAAUAUCUGUGGUUGAUGAAAUUUUAUAAAUAUUUUUUCUAUUCUUAUUUAUGGCUAUCAAAUAUUAGAGGUGACAAAGUGAGGCGGACUGUGCGAAUUGGCCUGUGGCCCCCUGAAAAAAAUGUGGGCGGGUUGCUUAUUUCAACUCGCUGACUCACUUAGGUCCGCCCUACAUAACUCGCAGUCCGCACGGGCCAAGUGGGAGCGGGUGCGGGUUGACCCGCAUAACUUUAAAAUGUAGAAUUUUUUUUCUGCAUCGCCAUAUUUUCUUCAUGUAGCCUCAUAUUUCACAUUCCAAAAUUUUUAAUAACAUCUUACUAUGCAUGUCUCGUGAAAAUAAUAUUAUUAGACCAUUUACCUAAUUCAUCUAAAUAAAUAAAAAAUUAUUUAAAAAAAUAUUUCUUAUGCGGACUAGCUCGUAGGCCAACCCUUAUACGAAACAAACUAGAAAUCUUUGAAUGCAUGUUUUCAUCUGCUGAGCUCAAUGAAUUUCAAGAAAUAUCUGAAAAAUAUUGGGUUGAAAAGAGAAGACUACUAUUUUUUAAAACAUGUUUGGAAGGGUUUGUUGUCUUGCCUUGCUUGGGGUUUUAUGGCUCUAUCCUGAGAAUUCAGCACUGAGCGGGGGAAACUGAAGUCAAGGCUGAAGGAGCAUGAAGAAGCAUUGAAGGAUUUCAUUGGUAAGGGAAGGAUGAGAAAGCUCAGAAGCUGUGGUUGAGGCUGAAGAAUGAGGUUGCAACUGAACUAAAGGAGAGACGUUUUGAUGUUGAAUAAGUGUAUGCUUUAUAGUGAAUGGUUGUCAAUGUCAUUUCCAUGAUACAUGAACAGAUUGUGAGACUCUAGAUGUAGUAGACACUAAAAAUCUUAUGUAUGCUAGAUGAUAAAUAAAAGUGACAAUUUAUUGACAAGACAUGUCUAAAUUCACUUUCAAACAUUGAAAAUCCAUAGUGUUGUGUUGAUAGAUUUUUAUUACUAGUUUGCUUAUAGAAUAAAAACAUCAAAACAUAAAUUAUUAAAUUCAUGUUACAAUCCAAACCUAAGUAAUCUAUAUAAUUUUGUAAUCAAACAAUUUACUAAAUUUUUUAGUAACAUUUUUAUAAUGUUACUUUUUUUUUAUUAAAAAAUAUUAGUAACAUUUUUUAAAUGUGACUUCUUAAAUUUAGAGUGUAGGGAUUAGUAACAUUUUUAUAAUGUUACUCUCUUUCCAAAAAAAUAUUACUAAAAAAAAUUAAUAACAUUUUUAAAAUGUUAUUUAUUUAUUAAAAAAAGUUACUAACCUUUUCAUAAUAUUAAUUUUUUUUAUUAAAAAGUAUUACUAAAAAGAUUGAAUAACAUUUUUAAAAUGACAUAUUUUAUUAAAAAAAUUACUAAAAAUAAUUAGUAACAUUUUUAUAAUGUCACUUUAAUAUUAAAAAAAGUUAAUAAAGAUUUAUAGUAACAUUUUUAUAAUAUUUUUUUUUUUAAAAUUACUCAAACAAUUUAGUAACAUUUUAAAAAUGUUAUUUUUUUAUUAAAUAAAUAUUACUAAAAAUAUUUAAUGACAUUUUUAUAAAUGUAUUUAUUCAAAUAUAAAAGUAUUACUAAAAGUAUUUAGUUAUAUAAAAUAUUUGUUACAUUGAAUAAAAUUACUAAAUCAUAUUAGUAAUUUUUUUAUAUUUAAUAACAUUUUCUUUAUUUAAUAACAUUUUUUUAAUGUUACUAAUUAUCAUAUCUAGUAUUACCAUAACUUUACAAAAAGAAAUCAAUUUAAUCCUUUAUCAUAUUAAAUAGAUUCUCUACCAAAAAUGUUUUCCUGCCGAUUUAUAAUUAAUUUUGUUAAUAAUAUAAAAUAGUAAUAGUUAAAAACGGAUAGAAAAAAAGUUCUUAUAUUUUUCUCUAGACAUAAUUACAUUUUUAAUCAUCAUUAUAAUUAGAAAGAUAAGAAAAACCUCCUCUAUUCAAACAACCUUUUCUUUUUUUUUCUUAACCUCCAAAAUCUAUAUAUAUAUAUAUAUAUAUAUAUAUAUAUACACACUCAUUUUUAACAUUUUUUUUAAAUCGUUUGGUCAUAUUGUGUUUAUAAAAUCAAUCUUGAAAGGUUUAUAAAGUUAAAAAUGUGUAAUUAAGUUUUGAGUUCCAUUUAAAUUCAAGAACUACCAAAAAGAAAUCCAGGUAUUAUUAAUUUAAAUUUAAAGAUGUCAUAUUAAGGAAACUUCAUAGUCUUUGUUUACUUCGACUAUUUCAACUCCAAGAAAUUGGAUAUUUCAAAAUUCUCUAGAUUCAAACUACGGACUUAAUAACCUUAUCAGCUUCAAAAACCUUUACGAACACUAAAUCGAAGGCUUCAUGCUCAGUGAGAUUCAACCGUCUUCCAUCCUCACCGUUCUCUGCAUCAAACCUCCCAAUAUCCAAACAAGUUGGUGAACCAGUGAUGCAGAACACAAGCUUGUACCCAAAAUGGUAGUUCUCAAUAUGAAAUCUAGUCGAUAUGGGAUCUCCAACCCACCCCGCGUGCAAGGGACAACAUGUUAUGGGUGGGGUUUUUUCUUCCUGCACCCCCACGUUUUUCUUUCUGCACCCCACAAUUCUAAAUAUUCCUAAAGUACCCUUGAUCUAUAAUUUGAAAAGGGCACUCUCCUGGACUUGCAUUGUAGCAGUUCAUCUUCAUCACUGAAAUAUCAACUCCUGGACCUAUACUGGGAUUUUACCACACCGCAGGUUUAGCAUUCAGUUCUUAUAGAUAAAACAUUGCAGUUAUACAUCUUUCCCAUUUUACUUAUGAUGUAUUUCUUAUUCAUCUAUGUAAUUUAACUAUUUUUCAAAUGCAGAUUCUGACAAUGGAGUAUGUUCCGGGGAUUAAAAUAAAUAAAACACAAGCUUUAAAUGAACUUGGUAUUGAUCGCAAAAGGUUAAUCUCAUAUGAAUUUCUUCAAGCCAAGUUACUAUUGACAUUUUCCCUUCUACUUCUGUGAAUUUUAGGAAUUGAUGAUGGCUUUUGAAAUUCAAAAAUAACAUAAUGUAUACUUUAUCUUCUACAGGUUAGGGCGAUAUGCAGGGGAUUCUUAUUUGGAGCAGAUUUUUAUCACAUGGUUUCUUCCAUGCUGACUCUUCUUGUUCUUAGAAUUGUUGAGUUGUCUCAUGACUUAUCUUGUUUGAAUAAGGGAGAAGAGAUUGGCUGGAAAUACUUAUCUCCCAUGUUGGAUUCCAAGUACACACUUUGCAUGCUAUAUACUUAACUUUUGAUUUAAUCAUAUCAUAUUGCAUAAAAUAAGAGAACAAGUAAGAACUUGCACAAUAGAAGGGUGGCAAAGAAGCUUUGCAUAAAAUAUUGUUACAUUCCCUUUUCAGCUCAAAUAGAAACUGAUUUGAUCUUUGGCUGUUUUUUGUACUGCACUUAGCAUUGGAAAACAUUAUGAUAAUUGUGAAGUUUGAAAAAGAUUUAUAAACAGGGAGUUCUAAUAAUUUGUUUUGCCAGUUAACAUCAAAUGUUCAUAUUAUUUCAACUAAUUUAUAUGGAUUUGACGAGUAGGGGAUUCAAAAAUUUAGAACUUUCCCAGAUCCAAAAAUUUGGAACUUUCCCAGAUUCAAAAAUUCGGAACCUUCCCAGAACUAUAAAUCCAGGAUUUUACCGCAAGCAUAAACUCGAGAUUCUACCGGAUUCUAUGAUCUAGAAUGCAAGAAAACACUUACAGAAACAAAAAUCCAUAAAAAAAUCGGAUGUGCAGAUCCGAAAGCAAAGAAAUUAACUUAUCUUGAUUAAAAACACUCUAUAUCAGCAACAAAAAAUUCUGAGAUUGUAAGGAUAGCGAUUUGUAGGUGCGACUGCUGCUAGAAAAUGAAACCCACGGCUGUGCACUGAGAGAAUCAUUGCCUGUGCCUCUUUAGGGUUUUUUUAGGUGAAGGGUAUUUUUAGAAUUUUAAAAACUAUUAAGGACGAUUUAGUCUUUGCAUAAGAGUGUGGGGGUGCAGGAAGCAAUUGUCUAUGGGUGGUCCAAUAACGGCCCGAUAGCGGGUGGCAUGAUAGGUCCAACAAACGUUUGUUAUGAUAGACUUUAAAUGACUCUGAUAUCAUAUUACGAAGUGAACUUUAAACCUAACUCAACCCCAUAAAACCGGCUCAUGAAGUGGAAUUUGCACCCACUUAUAUAAAAUGAAAUGAUAUAAUAUCUAGUUGAUGUAGGAUCUUUAACAUACUCCCACACGCAUUUGUUCUGGAUUUCUUCGUCCUCACUCAUGUUUCAGACAUACAUAAGACACUGACAAUAAGACACUGACACUAAAACACCUAUAAUUUUUAAAAUUUAAACAUAAAAUAUAAAUUUAUAUAUUAUAUUAUUAUGAAUUAUAUAAAUUUCCUAGUACAAAAUUUAUAUCAACAAGUAUACGCUAAGAUUUUUUUUUAUGAUUGAUUAAAAGAAAUUUUUUUCUGACACAGACUGCAUGAAAAGAAAAACGUAUCCGAGCUUCGUAUUAGUAAUAGAACAACAUAGUUUUGAAGAAAAUUUCUGACUACAAUUUAGAGACUCCGAAAUAGUGAGAGAAAAGUAAACUUUUAAGACAGUUUGAUAACUAAUUUCACUGUUGAUUAACUAAACAAUAUAAAAGAUUUGAUUGAACCCAAAAAUGGACUCGUAGUUUUGUUGCAUGUAUAAGCUUAAGUUUCCAUUUUUAUAUACUUUGAAGUCUGAAAUAAUUAAGUUGAUAAAGUAAUGAUGAGUACCAGUGAAGAUGAUUCCAGGGCUGACUCCAGGUAUGGUGAAUGCCACGGAAGAGAUUUGAGUAAUCUUGCAACACAGUUAGAGCACACUUUGAGUUCCCAGUUUGGGCAAGUUUCAAUCCACCACCACUUGGGCCAAAGAUUGCUGGAAAGAUGUAGUAUGUGAAACCUCUGAAAAUGGGGUUCCCAUUUGUGUCCACAAUUGGCUGAACAUUUGAGAAAGCUAAGGGAAGGUUGGUGAGGAAAGCGAGGAGAAGGAGGAGGAAGAAGAGGGCAAGAACUGCUGUGGGUUUCAUGGU